CAUGGCGCCGCGCAGAUUCAUGUUCCUCCAUCGAUUCGAAUACCUCAUUCACUUCAACAACCAAACACAGUCUGACCGGUUGAUGUUCUCCUGGAUCGAUCAUCAGUCAAUCCACACCGUUGAUCUCAUUCACUUCAUCCGCUAUGCCUACCAAGGGCAUUUAUAUUUGCACAUCAUCUUAUUGAAGCUAGCAAGCCUGCAACCAAUUCCUGCUCAGUACUAUCGAUCCUCCAUCCCUAUCUCCCUGCAGUCGUACCGCUAGCGGCGCCGCCGCCGACCAACAAGGCAAAGGACGACGGAGCCUCGAUCUCCACGUCUAUAUGUUUAUGAUUCACUAACGAAUAUUGGCUAUAGCCGACUGGGGGUGCCUGACGAGAUAUGGCCGUUGCACUGCCAUCACACAUUCACACCAGCUUCGACAUGAACAAAGCUGCAGAGUAUUGAAAGCUGAUUCUGUGAUUCGUUUAAUUUGUACUACUAAUUUAUUAUAUGAGCUAGGCAAAAUCACAUAGCAUUUACAUACAUGGUUUUUUUUAUUCGUUUACGUGCUAUUUGCCAUUUUGUAAUUAAAUCUGUUAAGCGAAGAACCACUUACAUGGACAACACUCAAUCUCACAUGUUUUAGCACUAAUUAUAAAUUAUUCGUACAUAAUUUUACCACAUA